rnacentral:misc_RNA from 1 species
AAAGUCGUAACAAGGUUUCCGUAGGUGAACCUGCGGAAGGAUCAUUAAAAAGGAUACCGGGCAACCGGUAGACCCCACCCGUGUCUAUCUACUCUUGUUGCUUUGGCAGGCCGUGGCCUCCACCGCGGGCUCUGCCUGCGUGUGCCUGCCAGAGGACUAAACUCUGAACUUUAGUGAUGUCUGAGUACUAUAUAAUAGUUAAAACUUUCAACAACGGAUCUCUUGGUUCUG